rnacentral:rRNA from 1 species
GAUGAACGCUGGCGGCGUGCUUAACACAUGCAAGUCGAGCGAACAGACGAGGAGUUUGUUCCUUGCACGUUAGCGGCGGACGGGUGUGUAACAUGUGGAUAAUCCCCCUAUCAGACUGGGAUAACUUCGGGAAUCCGGCGCUAAUACCGGAUAAUAUAUUGAACCGCAUGGUUCAAUAGUGAAAUACGGUUUUGCUGUCACUUAUAGAUGGAUCCGCGCCGCAUUAGCUAGUUGGUAAGGUAACGGCUUACCAAGGCAACGAUGCGUAGCCGACGUGAGAGGGGGAUGGGCCACAGUGGAGCUGGAACACGGUCCAGGCUCCGACGGGAGGCAGCAGUAGGGAAUCUUCCGCAAUGGGGGGAAGCCUGACGGAGCAGCGCCGCGUGGGUGAUGAAGGUCUUCGGGUCGUAAGACUCUGUUAUUAGGGAAAAACAAAUGUGUAAGUAACUAUGCACGUCUUGACGGUACCUAAUCAGAAAGCCACGGCUAACUACGUG